rnacentral:rRNA from 1 species
UACAGAGGGUGCGAGCGUUGUCCGGAAUCACUGGGCGUAAAGGGCGCGUAGGCGGCCUGAUAAGUAGGGGGUGAAAUCCCGGGGCUCAACUCCGGGGCUGCAGGUGAGACUGCGUGGCUAGAGCACGGUAGAGGCGAGUGGAAUUCCCGGUGUAGCGGUGGAAUGCGUAGAUAUCGGGAAGAACACCGGUGGCGAAGGCGGCUCGCUGGGCCGUUGCUGACGCUGAGGCGCGAAAGCGUGGGGAGCGAUCCGG